AGUAUAAAUAAGACACCACAAGUGGUAUGCAUUCAACGAGAAAAAACCAGUGUAAAGAAAAACAAAAAUGGAAAGCUUAAAAAGGAAGAGAUCUAUUUCAUCUGCUCCGAUCUCUUCCCAAAAGUUCUGGAUCUUCUCCGAUGAAAAUCCAGCUUGUAGAUCUCCAUUUAUCUCCCAACACCUCCGCACAAACUACAAUCUACAAGACAUAUAAGUGUGGUGUGAGAUCAUUUAUAGCAAAAUUUCUCACUGAAACUAUGAUUCAAACCAAUGACGACUUGUUCAUAUUUGAGUGGCGUGGAUCUAAAUUCAGUAGUGAUAUGAGAUGAUCUAGAGAAUUUAAGUUUACUGUCCUUUGAAAUGGCCUCAAAUUCACAUUCUCGGUCUCUGGGCAAACUUCAUCCCAACUGAAUCGAGCUUAAUCCAGAUAAGUCUUUCACCCCCUUCGAUUGGCAUUUAGUUUUCGUUGGUUCUCACCUCUGAUUUAUUGUCCUAGCAGGUUGAGCCCUAAAAGAGUUGAUACCACUGCUCAUGACAACAAAAAAACAGGUUUGGUUCCAAAGUUUACUAAAUAUUUCCUUGUUCUCGUUCUUGCAUAUCAAUUGAGUUUGUUACCCAAUUCCUUUUUGUUGAUACAUUUACUUAACUUGUCAUUGCAUAGAACAUCCUCAGCCUAGUGGAUCCACUGGCUAAACUUACGUGAUCAUCUAAAAAGUAUAACCUGUUAAUACACAUGAUGGCUACAUGGUUUUGCAUGGACAUUUGAGUUAAUAUGAACUCUUGUCCCCACAUCGGUGCUCAAUACUACUCCUAAAAUAUACUUUAGCUCGUGCUUUUAAAAACAACUUCCUUUCCUUGGGUUGGGAUAAUUUGCUCAACACUUUAGCUAUAAGAAACUAUCUUGGUAUCAAUAUUCUCUUUUUCUUAUACAAAACUCUUUUGGAACUCUUAGUAUCCUCUUAACUUAAAUGUGAAAACAUUUAUUAACUCUUACAGAAUACUUAGUUCCCUUAUAGACUUUGAGAAAUGAACUCAACUCUUAAAGAAUACUAAGUUCCCUUAUAUUACUUUGAAGUAAGAUCUUCAUCUCUUUACUCUUUACUUGACUUGAACUUUAAGUCUUUAAAACAAUAUGAAAACGUUUGUGAAAUACUUUAGAAAACUUUAUAAACUUUACUUUGACUUGACUCUGAACAUUCAUUGAAUUGAAGUAUGGAUUUAAGGUUCAUGAUCUCAUGUUUAUGGAUGAUGUCAUGAUUUUCAACUUGGAGGGUUCACGCGGGAUUAUGAGCAUGAACUAUUCAACUCAAAAACUCAAUGGAUAACAUGUAAUCGUCCAAUGAUUAGGAAUAUAGUUUCAAAAGGAAUAAGGAACUCAAUACUCAAGACAUAGAACUUAAAAAUACUACUCAUCUAAAUGAUACUCAAUUUAUGAAAUUCAUGUGGAAGUUAUUGGCAUGAACAACUCGACUCAAAGGUCUAAGUAACUAGAUGGAACUCAUGUAUAUGACUCUUCCCUUUUUCAUAUUUACUUUCUCAAAGUUUAUUUCAAGUCAAUGAUGGAUCUCAAAGAAUUCACAAUUGAACUUAAAAGAUUUCUUGAACUCUACUCUUAACUUUGUCUUGAAUGUGAAUCAUGAAUUCAAGAGUUAUGGUUCAUGAUAUGAAGGAUCUAGGUGAUAUUUUAGCCUCAUGAGUACAUUCUACUCACUCUCAUGCUCACUUACUUGAUCCUUGAAACAAGUUACUAGAAGUUAUACAAGCCUCCUCAAAAGGGCUCGAAAUUACUCUCUUAAAAGGUUCAUAAGUACUCUCAAAACUUAAUCUUGAAUUUACCUUGAAUUUGAAUUAUUGUUUCAAGGUUAUGGUUCAUGUUAUGAAUGAUUUAUAAGUUUUUAGAAGUAGUUUUAAGUGUUUAGAAUCAAAAGGAGUGAAGAUACGCUUUAAAUGAGCUCAAACGGGACAACUAAUGGCUUAGGAGUGAGGGCAGGCGGCCCUGGCACGUUUCAGGUGCGGGAAGUCAGCCCCUAACAUCGAAGGCUGAAUUUGGGCGCACUGCAAGCGAGGUGCGCCAACAUCCCCCCAGGUUGGAAAGUUUCUGAGGCAUUGAGGAAAGGAAAAGCGUUGGAGAAGUAGUUUACUGGACUUUGGUUCUUCUGUAGAGAGUGCAUCAAGUGUACCAACGACUUCGAAUUUCCCUUAGCUCUAUCCAGUCUCUAGAGUAACAGGUUGCAGGGAAGAGAGACAAGCAAGAACAUGAAGGUGGUGAGCAAGAUUUGUCUAUAUAUCUCAAAUACAUGUGAAUUACACUAGAUACAUAAAUUUGAUGUAAUUCGCUUGUAACCGGGAAUAUCGAUAUGUGAGCGAGAUAGAGAAUGGUGAGUGAUAUGUGAGGGUGGUUAUUGAGAUUUGUCUAUGUAUACCAGAUACAUGUGAACCAACUUGGAUAAAUUUUAGGAAAAUUACUUUGGAAGAAUACCUUUUGAUAAAUAAUUAUUUAUUUUAGCGAUACCUUUUGUUUAUUA